rnacentral:rRNA from 1 species
UACGUAGGGUGCAAGCGUUAAUCGGAAUUACUGGGCGUAAAGCGUGCGCAGGCGGUUUUGUAAGUCAGAUGUGAAAUCCCCGGGCUUAACCUGGGAAUUGCAUUUCAAACUGGCCGACUAGAGUACGGUAGAGGGAGGUAGAAUUUCCUGUGUAGCGGUGAAAUGCGUAGAUAUAGGAAGGAAUACCAGUGGCGAAGGCGGCCUCCUGGAUCGAUACUGACGCUGAGGCGACGAAAGCGUGGGGAGCAAACAGG